rnacentral:rRNA from 1 species
CCUACGGGUGGCAGCAGUGGGGAAUCUUCCGCAAUGGGCGAGAGCCUGAAGGAGCAACGCCGCGUGAUCGAAUGAAGGCCUUCGGGUUGUAAAGAUCUGUUGUCAGGGACGAAUAAGCAAUGCGAGUAGUUUUGUGUAUGACGGUACCUGUUUAGACAGCUCCGGCUAACUACGUGCCCGCAGCCGCGGUACUACGUAGGGAGCAAGCGUUGUACGGUUUUACUGGGCGUAAAGGGCGCGUAGGUGUGCGCUUAAGUCAGGUGUGAAAACUCCGGGCUCAACCUGGAGACUGCAGUUGAAACGGGGUGUCUUGAGGGCAGGAGAGGAAAGUGGAAGUCGUAGUGUAGCGGUGAAAUGCGUAGAUAUUAGGAAGAACACCAGUGGCGAAGGCGACUUUCUGGACUGUACCUGACGCUGAGGCGCGAAAGCGUGGGUAGCGAACGGGAUUAGAUACCCCAGUAGUC